rnacentral:ncRNA from 2 species
UUUCCCUCAGGAUAGCUGGAGCACGCAACAUUUCGGAUUCUAUUCUUAUCUGGUAAAGCGAAUGAUUAGAGGCCUUAGGUUCGAAAAGCUCUUAACCUAUUCUCAAACUAUAAAGCGGUACGUACCAUGACAUUCUUGUACGAUUUGGUGUGUUCUACAAGUCCUUCA